CGUAGGGUGCGAGCGUUAAUCGGAAUUACUGGGCGUAAAGCGUGCGCAGGCGGUUUGUUAAGAUAGGCGUGAAAUCCCCGGGCUCAACCUGGGAACUGCGCUUAUGACUGGCAAGCUAGAGUACGGCAGAGGGGGUGGAAUUCCACGUGUAGCAGUGAAAUGCGUAGAGAUGUGGAGGAACACCAAUGGCGAAGGCAGCCCCCUGGGUCGAUACUGACGCUCAUGCACGAAAGCGUGGGUAGCAAACAGGAUUAGAUACCCUGGUAGUCCACGCCCUAAACGAUGUCAACUAGGUGUUGGGAGGGUAAAACCUUUUAGUACCGGAGCUAACGCGUGAAGUUGACCGCCUAGGGAGUACGGCCGCAAGGUUA
rnacentral:rRNA from 1 species